AUUAUCAUCAUCAUGACUCAUCAGUCAUGACAAUAACCCAGCGAAGAAAGAUUAGCAAUUAAAAGCCACUUAAAUGGGUUCUGACGUGGGUACUAAGUGAAGGAAACACUAAAGGAUGCUGGUAGAAGUCAU
rnacentral:lncRNA from 1 species